CAGCCGCCGCGGUAACACGGAGGGUGCAAGCGUUAAUCGGAAUUACUGGGCGUAAAGCGUGCGUAGGCGGUUCGUUAAGUCUGUUGUGAAAGCCCCGGGCUCAACCUGGGAAUGGCAAUGGAUACUGGCGAGCUAGAGUGUGUCAGAGGAUGGUGGAAUUCCCGGUGUAGCGGUGAAAUGCGUAGAGAUCGGGAGGAACAUCAGUGGCGAAGGCGGCCAUCUGGGACAACACUGACGCUGAGGCACGAAAGCGUGGGGAGCAAACAGGAUUAGAUACCCCAGUAGUCCCUGUCUCUUAUAC
rnacentral:rRNA from 1 species